rnacentral:rRNA from 1 species
GCGGGAACCGCCAAGACGUGCCUAACACAUGCAAAUCGAAUGAAAAGAAUUAAUUAUUGUUUUCAUGGUGAACGGGUGAGUAACACAUAAGAAUCAGCUUUUAGAUAAGGCAUAAAAGAGUAAUAUCUUGGUAAUUCCUUAUAUGCGCAGCAGUGCUUAAAAAGGGGAGUCCCGUCUAAAAACGAGCUUAUGCCUGAUUAGCUAGUUGGCGAGUUAAAAGCUCACCAAGGCGAAGAUCAGUAGCUGGCCUGAGAGGGCGGCCAGCCACAUUGGGACUGAGACACGGCCCAAACUCCUACGGGAGGCAGCAGUGGGGAAUCUUCUGCAAUGGGCGCAAGCCUGACAGAGCGGCGUCGUGUGAAGGAAGAAGGCCUGAAAUAGGUUGUAAACUUCUUUUACUGAAUAAUGAAUAAUGACAACGCAGUAAAAAAGUAUCGGCUAACUCCGUGCCAGCAGCCGCGGUAAUACGGGGGGUGCAAGCGUUAUCCGGAAUCACUGGGCGUAAAGCGUCUGUAGGUGGUUUAGUGUGUUCUUAGUUAAAUUCUGAAGCCUAACUUCAUGAAAAGUAAGAAAACUAUUAGACUUGAGUACAAUAGGGGUAAGAGGAAUUCUUCGAGAAGUAGUGAAAUGCGAAGAUACGAAGGAGAAGAUCAUAAGCGAAGGCUUCUUACUGGGUCGUAACUGACACUGAGAGACGAAAGCUAGGGGAGCGAAUGGGAUUAGAUACCCCAGUAGUCCUAGCUGUAAACGAUGGAUAUUCGGUGCCGGAAAUUUUAUUAGAACAUUUCGGUACCCUAGCUAACGCGUUAAAUAUCCCGCCUGAGGAGUACGCUCGCAAGGGUGAAACUCAAUGAAUUGACGGAAGGGC